rnacentral:rRNA from 1 species
UACGUAGGUGGCAAGCGUUGUCCGGAUUUAUUGGGUUUAAAGGGUGCGUAGGUGGGCAAGUAAGUCAGUGGUGAAAUCUCCGGGCUUAACCCGGAAACUGCCAUUGAUACUAUUUGUCUUGAAUACUGUGGAGGUCAGCGGAAUAUGUCAUGUAGCGGUGAAAUGCUUAGAUAUGACAUAGAACACCAAUUGCGAAGGCAGCUGGCUACACAAAUAUUGACACUGAGGCACGAAAGCGUGGGGAUCAAACAGG